AGGACGAACGCUGGCGGCGUGCUUAACACAUGCAAGUCGAACGGACACUUUCGGGUGUUAGUGGCGAACGGGUGAGUAACACGUGGGCAACCUGCCCCUAGCUCUGGGAUAACUCCGGGAAACCGGGGCUAAUACUGGAUAUGACCUUCUCACGCAUGUGGGUUGGUGGAAAGUUUUUCGGCUAGGGAUGGGCCCGCGGCCUAUCAGCUUGUUGGUGGGGUGAUGGCCUACCAAGGCGACGACGGGUAG
rnacentral:rRNA from 1 species